rnacentral:rRNA from 1 species
UCAGAAGGUUGUGGUGGGCUGUCAGGCGGUAUACAGUGAAACUGCGAAUGGCUCAUUAAAUCAGUUAUCGUUUAUUUGAUAGUACCUUACUACUUGGAUAACCGUGGUAAUUCUAGAGCUAAUACAUGCUAAAAAUCCCGACCUCCGGAAGGGAUGUAUUUAUUAGAUAAAAAACCAAUGCCUUCGGGCUCCUUGGUGAUUCAUGAUAACUUAACGAAUCGCAUGGCCUUGCGCCGGCGAUGGUUCAUUCAAAUUUCUGCCCUAUCAACUUUCGAUGGUAGGAUAGUGGCCUACCAUGGUUUCAACGGGUAACGGGGAAUUAGGGUUCGAUUCCGGAGAGGGAGCCUGAGAAACGGCUACCACAUCCAAGGAAGGCAGCAGGCGCGCAAAUUACCCAAUCCCGAUUCGGGGAGGUAGUGACAAUAAAUACUGAUACAGGGCUCUUUUGGGUCUUGUAAUUGGAAUGAGUACAAUUUAAAUCCCUUAACGAGGAACAAUUGGAGGGCAAGUCUGGGCCCC